AAGUCGUAACAAGGUCUCCGUAGGUGAACCUGCGGAGGGAUCAUUAACAUCAUAUCAUGUUGACGUGCAUGGCUGUGUGUGCUACACACACAUCAUGUACUGUCAAUCACACACAUGUGAACUACUUGACAAACAAUACCUCCUUCUGUUGUGUGUGUUACUACCUAACAGUAGUAGUGCAGCAGCAACUCUUCUCCUUUUUUUUUCUUUACUCCUUCUAUGUACCUCAUAUUCACAUAUGUACAUACUACCGCUCGGACUUUUCAGGUCUGCUGCAUGUAUGUUACUCUACCUUAACCAAUACCACUCCACGCAAUGGAUAUCUUGGUUCUC
rnacentral:misc_RNA from 1 species